rnacentral:rRNA from 1 species
AGUGAACGCUGGCGAUAGGCCUAACACAUGCAAGUCGAACGGCAGCACAGUAAGAGCUUGCUCUUACGGGUGGCGAGUGACGGACGGGUGAGGAAUACAUCAGAAUCUACUUUUUCGUGGGGGAUAACGUAGGGAAACUUACGCUAAUACCGCAUACGACCUACGGGUGAAAGCAGGGGAUCUUCGGACCUUGCGCGAUUGAAUGAGCCGAUGUCGGAUUAGCUAGUUGGCGGGGUAAAGGCCCACCAAGGCGACGAUCCGUAGCUGGUCUGAGAGGAUGAUCAGCUACACUGGAACUGAGACACGGUCCAGACUCCUACGGGAGGCAGCAGUGGGGAAUAUUGGACAAUGGGCGCAAGCCUGAUCCAGCCAUACCGCGUGGGUGAAGAAGGCCUUCGGGUUGUAAAGCCCUUUUGUUGGGAAAGAAAAGCAGCAGGUUAAUACCCCGCUGUUCUGACGGUACCCAAAGAAUAAGCACCGGCUAACUUCGUG